rnacentral:miRNA from 1 species
CGCACACCAGGCUGACUGCCU